rnacentral:rRNA from 1 species
UACGGAGGGUGCAAGCGUUAAUCGGAAUUACUGGGCGUAAAGCGUGCGUAGACGGUUAUGUAAGUCGGGUGUGAAAGCCCCGGGCUCAACCUGGGAAUUGCAUUCGAGACUGCAUAGCUAGGGUGCGGAAGAGGGAAGCGGAAUUUCCGGUGUAGCGGUGAAAUGCGUAGAUAUCGGAAGGAACACCAGUGGCGAAAGCGGCUUCCUGGUCCAGCACCGACGUCAGGCACGAAAGCGUGGGGAGCAAACAGG